AUGGCCUCAAUGGUGAAAUCCCUACCCUUCGCCUGCCCAUCACGGCGAUCGUGGUUCCCUGUCGGCUAGCGUCGAUGGCACUCUUCCUUCUCCCCUUGAUAUUGCCCUCGAUGUCGUGCCACCUACACUCAGAUUUCGCCAUCCGCAAUUAAAACCACUCGGCCUUCUCCCUCGCUCAAUCUCGCUGGCCGUCUCUAGCACCGUAGCCCGCCAGCCGCUUCCAUCCAUGCAUUCGCUACUACCGUAACGGUCUCUGCCUUCCCUUCGUUGCUGCGGCGCCACGCCAAUCUUCGUUUUCCCUUUCGCCGCCACACCACGGGCUCAAUCAGUCGCCCAUCCCGUGCAUACGCUGCCAUCCGUUGAGCCUCCUCUGCUACAUCGCGCCCCAAGGGUCAUCAAGUCACCUCCACUAGCCGUCGUGCGGGGCAAGCCUUGCUGCCGCACGGCAUGGAGUAAGUGGUUUUCCGUCGGAGUCCUUGCUGCUCCGUGAUUCUGCCACCAGAGCAUUCUCGAGUCCGCAUAUGACAAAAAAUGACGGACCAAUUCGAUCGCAGUUCCUCUUGACAGCGGGUCAGAAAGCGACUGGCCUCUGCUUAUUUCAAUGAACAUACAGAGCACUGUAUCACAAUCGCCUGCACUAACAGGAUUAAACUUGGUUACUAAAUGUUAUGGUUCCUUUAAUCACAGCCAACCAACGGAUAUGCACAUAUGAGGUGAAACAAAAAGUCGGCAGACCUUGCUGUGUGGCAAACGAAUGAGGUUGUGGGGUCAAGAGAGAUGAGCAAUCCAUAUUGCUUGAUCCUAAUUCGGGCAUGAUGGUGGAGGCGGUGAGAAGUUAAGUAGCGUGAAAAGCAUAGUUUCUCAAACCUUUGGUUUGAGACUUUUACUUUUAUUUUGUAUAUUGAUUCUGAUGGCGGAUAUUUUGCUGGCUACCUAGCGAAAUUCAAUUGCCACACAUAAACAAUGUGUGGGGUUUAAUUCCUUUUUUAUGUAAUAGUUUUAAUUUAUGUUUUUCAAUACGUGCAUUGCACGUGCACUA